CCUACGGGAGGCAGCAGUGAGGAAUUUUCCGCAAUGGGCGAAAGCCUGACGGAGCAAUACCGCGUGAGGGAUGAAGGAUUUUGGUCUGUAAACCUCUUUUCUCAAGAAAGAAGUUCUGACGGUACUUGAGGAAUAAGCAUCGGCUAACUCCGUGCCAGCAGCCGCGGUAAUACGGGGGAUGCAAGCGUUAUCCGGAAUGAUUGGGCGUAAAGCGCCUGUAGGUUGUUUAUUAAGUCCGUUGUUAAAGCCUAGGGCUUAACCCUAGAAAAGCAAUGGAAACUAGUAGACUAGAGUAUGGCAGGGGUAGAGGGAAUUUCUAGUGUAGCGGUGAAAUGCGUAGAUAUUAGAAAGAACACCGGUGGCGAAAGCGCUCUACUGGACCAUUACUGACACUCAGAGGCGAAAGCUAGGGUAGCAAAAGGGAUUAGAUACCCCUGUAGUCCUAGCCGUAAACGAUGGAUACUAGAUGUUGUGCAUUAUGUACAGUAUCGUAGCUAACGCGUUAAGUAUCCCGCCUGGGGAGUACGCUCGCAAGGGUGAAACUCAAAGAAUUGACGG
rnacentral:rRNA from 1 species